GCAGCCCGACCGCCCGAGCGCAGCCCGGGGUUUGUGCGCACGUGCGGACGGAAGGGACCACGAGAUGGAGGUAUUGGUUUCUCCAUUAUACAGAUGAGGAAACGAGACUCAGUCACACUGAGAGUUAAAGUAAGAGAUGGAGGGAGCCACAGAUGAUUUCACAGUUGUACUGUCGCAUGAGGGUCCGUAUAAAAUGGGCUCAGCUGGUCCUUUUGCAGUGUUAACCCAGAGGCACUCUAGAACCAAGGAUGACUUGAUUGCAAAACUGGGAGAUACAAAUAAUAAAAUGAGAAAACUGUU